rnacentral:rRNA from 1 species
UGCUACGGCCAUGCAACCCUGAACAAGCCUGAUCCCGUCUGAUCUCGGAAGCUAAGCAGGGUCGGGCCUAGUUAGUACUUGGAUGGGAGACCACUAAGCUGACAAUCUGUGAGGUCAACC